UAAUAUAAUAAACGCUUAUAAAUUCAAUUUCUGAAGAAAAAGGUAAAUUGAGCAGACAAUUUAGCCGCCGCCGACAUAAAAUGGUUGCGCCGCCGUCGAUCAUUUUGCAUAUAUUUUGUUUAAGUUCAAAUCGAUUUUUUGCGGUAUUUUUCCUCUAAGUGUAAAUCCUUAUGAUUUACUACUUUAGUUUACAUUUUUGAUGGAAAACUAUUAUUAAUUCAACGAGUUAACCGCUAACUGUAUUUAAACUUUGUAAGCCUCCUUAGAAAUAAGUGGUUGUUUAUCACUCGACAUAUAGAAGCCUUAAAGAGUACUUCUUGUGUGCAUACUUUCUUAAGCCGAAUAUAUAUAUGAAUACAUAAUAACGGGUCACCACUAUGAUGUAACAUUUUGGAAUACAAUUAUUAUUUCGUUAAUGUGAAGGAAAAAAGUACAAAAAAGGAAACGUGAAAUUUGUUUUUAUUCAAACACAAUGAACCAAUUUGAAUACCAAUUUUAGAAUUAGAAACAUUAAAUAUGUUGUUGUUGUUGCCACCUGGACGAAGGAGGUAAACUUGAACCUAGGCGUCGUAGUCGAUGGAAACCAAAUACCGACUGUGAACCACCCUAACAUUUUGGGGGUCACCUUUUACAGCCUGUUUACUUCCUCAGCUCAUUCCACUGCAAUUACGCACAAAUUGCGAAGUAGAAACAAGGUCCUCAAAGCGCUAGCCGACAGCACUUGGGGAAUGGACAAAGAAACCUUGUUGGCUACCUAUAAAACAAUUGGCCGGUCAGUGGUCAAUUAUGCUGCUCCAGUGUGGUUUCCAUCGCUGAGUGAUACCCAGUUGAGAAAUAUUCAAAGCUGCCCUUAAGACUGUAACGGGCUGCAUGCAAACAACCUCAGAACACCAUCUACAUGAGGAAACGAAGGUCCUACCAGUCAAGGAACAUAAUGUCAUGCUGACUAAACAGUUCCUCCUGUGAUGUCGCCGGAGGAGUAAUCCCAACUAACAUCACACAGUUAGAUGCUCCCCGUAGGCAUGUCAGGAAAGACCUUCGUGUAUACGAAGAGAGCAUACGAAGUUAUGUUCAUUAUCCCUUAGAUCGAACUUCGUAUACAGCAGCUUUGAACGACAUUCAUAGAGACGCCAUCAAUACCGCGGUUUCAGGUUACCGCAUGAAUGUCGUUCUUGGAGGUCAUCCACCGCCCAUAGCAGAAAUAGAGAAGAACCUGAGUUGCUCUGGCAUAACUGAGAUCGGGAUGGAACAACAGGCUCAACGCCUACUGGUCCCACAUAGAUCGUGCCGUCCCCAAUAUAUGCCCAGCUUGUGGACAGAAUCCCCAUGAUAUCCACCACAUAUUCAACUGUCAAACCCACCCUACUUCACUUAGCCCAAUGGAUUUAUGGACUAACCCAAUUGAAGUAGCCCAAUUUCUUGGCUUGGACCUAAAUACAGAUUAAAAAUUGUAUGGUUUAAGCCAGCCAAGCGCAGUAGGUUUGCACUGCGAGAAGUGAAAUGAUUGAUUCAAAUAUGCAAUGUAGAAAAAGAAGUCAGUGUCGCAGCAUUUAUUUGUUUUACAUGAAUUAUUUAUUUCUUGAAUGAAUUAUUUAAUGAAUAUUUAAUCAAUAUAUAAAUGAAUGAAUUAAUGAAGUAAUUAAUGAAUCAAUGAAUUAGUGAAUAAAAUAAUUACUUUAUGUAUGCAUCAAUUAAUGAAAUGAUGAAUGAAUUAAUCAUUUUAUAAAUUAAUAUAUGACUAAUUAAAAUAAUAAACAAUUAAGUGAAUAAAUUAACUCAUAGAAUUA